CGGUGGCGCACGCCUGUAGUCCCAGC
rnacentral:piRNA from 3 species